rnacentral:sRNA from 1 species
CGAUUGGCAGACGUCCUCUCCUCCUCCCAAGGGCGUUUGCGGGAACAGCAACACUCCUCCUCCCAGUUGCUGUUCGGAUAUUUUCGGAAAGCCUGCCGCACCUCCUCCCGCGGCAGGCUUUUUCG